GACGAACGCUGGCGGCGUGCUUAACACAUGCAAGUCGAACGGAAAGGCCCUGCUUUUGUUGGGUGCUCGAGUGGCGAACGGGUGAGUAACACGUGAGUAACCUGCCCUUGACUUUGGGAUAACUUCAGGAAACUGGGGCGAAUACCGGAUAGGAGCUCCUGCUGCAUGGUGGGGGUUGGAAAGUUUCGGCGGUUGGGGAUGGACUCGCGGCUUAUCAGCUUGUUGGUGGGGUAGUGGCUUACCAAGGCUUUGACGGGUAGCCGGCCUGAGAGGGUGACCGGCCACAUUGGGACUGAGAUACGGCCCAGACUGCUACGGGAGGCAGCAGUGGGGAAUAUUGCACAAUGGGCGGAAGCCUGAUGCAGCAACGCCGCGUGCGGGAUGACGGCCUUCGGGUUGUAAGCCGCUUUCGCCUGUGACGAAGCGUGAGUGACGGUAAUGGGUAAAGAAGCACCGGCUAACUACGUG
rnacentral:rRNA from 1 species